rnacentral:rRNA from 1 species
UACGAAGGGGGCUAGCGUUGCUCGGAAUCACUGGGCGUAAAGCGCACGUAGGCGGACUCUUAAGUCGGUGGUGAAAUCCUGGAGCUCAACUCCAGAACUGCCUUCGAUACUGAGGAUCUUGAGUUCGGGAGAGGUGAGUGGAACUGCGAGUGUAGAGGUGAAAUUCGUAGAUAUUCGCAAGAACACCAGUGGCGAAGGCGGCUCACUGGCCCGAUACUGGCGCUGAGGAGCGAAAGCGUGGGGAGCGAACAGG